rnacentral:rRNA from 1 species
GUUGGGUUAAGUCCCGUAACGAGCGCAACCCUUGUCCUUAGUUACCAGCACGUUAUGUGGGCACUCUAAGGAGACUGCCGGUGACAAACCGGAGGAAGGUGGGGAUGACGUCAAGUCAUCAUGGCCCUUACGGCCUGGGCUACACACGUGCUACAAUGGUCGGUACAAAGGGUUGCCAAGCCGCGAGGUGGAGCUAAUCCCAUAAAACCGAUCGUAGUCCGGAUCGCAGUCUGCAACUCGACUGCGUGAAGUCGGAAUCGCUAGUAAUCGUGAAUCAGAAUGUCACGGUGAAUACGUUCCCGGGCCUU